rnacentral:rRNA from 1 species
AUUGAACGCUGGCGGCAUGCUUUACACAUGCAAGUCGAACGGUAACAGGCCUUCGGGUGCUGACGAGUGGCGAACGGGUGAGUAAUGCAUCGGAACGUACCCAGAGGUGGGGGAUAACGCAGCGAAAGCUGUGCUAAUACCGCAUGUGAUCUGAGGAUGAAAGCGGGGGACAGAGCAGCAAUGUUUGGCCUCGCGCCUUUGGAGCGGCCGAUGUCGGAUUAGCUAGUUGGUGGGGUAAAGGCCUACCAAGGCGACGAUCCGUAGCUGGUCUGAGAGGACGACCAGCCACACUGGGACUGAGACACGGCCCAGACUCCUACGGGAGGCAGCAGUGGGGAAUUUUGGACAAUGGGCGCAAGCCUGAUCCAGCAAUGCCGCGUGCGGGAAGAAGGCCUUCGGGUUGUAAACCGCUUUUGGCAGGAACGAAACGGUGUCCGCUAAUACCGGGCGCUAAUGACGGUACCUGCAGAAUAAGCACCGGCUAACUACGUG